AUUGAAGAGUAGCGAAAACCAAACUAUUUGAAUUGUAUUUAAAAGCAAUCCAUUUCAAAUAUUUAGUUUAUAUAUUUAAGAAUUAUUUCAAUUGAAUGGAUAUGACCAAAGCAAAACAUUCGGUUGGCUACCUGGCAUUCAAUUGACCUCAAUGAAGUGUUAGAGAGCUAUGCAGGAAAAAAUGUGUGCGAGGAGAAAAACGGAAAUUAUUGCAGCUCAAUAAAACAUGUGGGCAAACAUGCAGAUAAAGUCGUAGAGCAGAGCAAAAAAAUGCGGAGCACUUGAGCAGCAAUAUGCACAAAUAAUAUGUUAAUUUUUUUAAAACUUGGCCUGCAUUUUAACCACAAAUAUCGUCGAAGCUCAUAUGGCUUUUAGCCCAAACAAUAAUAUUCAACUUUACGCUUGCUUGGCCUACAUCAAACUAUUUUCAAAUUUAAUCGGGUCACAGCUAAAAAACUUUCGCACCAGACCUUGAUAAAUUGUAUGUCAAGUGGACAAAAAUUACCAUGGGAAA